rnacentral:lncRNA from 1 species
GCAGAAAGCCCCAACAGCCAGACACAAAGGGCUUGUGAUGCUCAUGUCGGAAGACUUGGCUCUUUACCUGAAGGAACAGUGGAGUGACCCAGCGUCCCGGGUGCCUUGACUGACUGGAUUUCGUUUGGGGCUUUUGUGAGUAAUUAUUGUUUCUCAGUGAAUGCUUUGGUUGGGUCAGUUUGGUUUGUGGCUUGCCUUUGUUGUUUGGUCGAUUUAUUUUAACUGCUAGCAAAAGGAGCCCUUGGCUUGGAGGCAGGGGUCCUCGCGCUGCCCAGGCACAGCGCUGGUGGGGAACGCGUGGCUGCGGCUGUUGGACUGUCACCGCUCCGGACGCUUGGAGGUCUUCGCUGCUAGAGAGUCUGUAUGUCACCACAGGCUGCUGAGCUCCUGUCUGUCUAUUUGCCUGUCUGUCAGUCUGUCUGCUUCAGGAAAGGGGUUGGGGGUGGUGUCCAGGCUUUGCUCUGCUCCUCUCUCUUGGGAGUAGCCACCUUCUCCUGCAGCCAGUCCUUGCGCUGAUCUGUCCGCCCCUCUGCGACCUGUGGUCCCACCAGCAAUGCGGGAACCAGGUGACUGUCGUUGGAGCCCGCAGCGUCUCUGCUACUUUGCUACUUUGCGCUCCGGCCACUUCCCCAGGUCGGGUGGGAGGAGGUGACUGCAGGGAGCGAGUGCACGGGGCUGGCUGUCCCUGUCCCUCCCUCUCCGUCUCCCUGCCCGCUGAGUGCUCCCUCUUCUCUCUCUCUCUCUCUCCUCUCUCUCCUCUUCUCUCCUCUCCUCUCUCUCUCUCCGCUCUCUUCUCUCCUUUCUCUCUUCUCUCUCUCUCUCUCUCUCUCUCUCUCUCUCUCUCUCUCCCUCGCUCGCAGGAUUUCGAUCUCUCUGGCUGAGUAGGUCCACCUGAGGGUCACUCUCGCAGUCCCGCCGGAGUCAGCCAGCCUCAGUGGUGCUCCCGACCGCCCCACCCGGCCAUGCCCUCCCACAGGGCUGGCUAGGCUCCCAGGCAGCGCCCAGCUCCUCCCCGCCAGCCAAAGACGCGUCCAGCCGGGCGGGCACCAAGAGCACCGAAAGCAUUGCACAUGCCCGCCCCCCUCCCCCCAAUAGUUCCUGCCCCAAGACCCGUGCUGGCGACCCCUCUGCGGAGGGAGAUGGCCCUGAGGGGACGCUCAGUGAUGCCCGGUCUCUGGGCCACCACGCAAAGCCGAGGCUUGAGCGCAGCCGGCACCUGCUCUGUGCGCCAGGCGCUGCCAUACCCACUGCUCUCACCACCCCUGGGCUGGAGACAAAGCGCAUGAGCCACGCGCGCGGCAGCGCGAGCAUCAUUAAUCAGAGGAAACUGGCGCGCUGCCCCGGCCCCGCCACCCUGCCUCUCCCUCCCAGCCACCAGGCGCGCCCCGGAGCCCAGCCCUUACCUACCUCGCUGGGGUACCACCUCGAGUCCUAGGGAUGUUUGGCCAGAGCUUCUGGGUUUCUGGUACUCCGUGCUUACUCUCCGAGGCCAAGUGCAGAAAACAGCCCGGGGCAGCAACACCUCACCCCACCCAAGAAAUGAUUCUCAGCUUUGAGCUCUCAGAUGCCCAGGCUUUAGAGCUGAGAGAGACUACAAGUCCUGCUGCUCAGCGAGACUGGUCCUCUGGAUGCAAGACCGCCCAGAUCAGUGCUGCCUGCCCCACUGGGCGCUGAUGCGCUGACUGAGAGAAACCUUGCACUGCAGAGCCCAGAGGGGUAGGGCUGGGGCAGGGAGCAGAGUUGACACCUGAAGAAAUAAAAGCUCUGAUUUACCCAUUUGUUUUGGAGAUGAGUACUAUUUUUAUUAUGUGCAAUUCUUUUUUUUUUCAUAAUCUAAGGGCACACUACCAAGAGGAGAAAAAAGUACAGUGAAGAGUGAAUAAAUUUCCGGAAUACCGCCCACCCGCUAGCGACUAUACAUCCUACUUUCCGACAGCGUAGGUCACCAGCCAAGAUAGCCCAUUCUAGCUUCCUACCCCCAGCUGAGAGCAAGGCAUUGGAUUCUGGCCUUCUUGGCUGGCUUGUUAUUAAUGGGUAGCAAAAUUAUAGUCGUGCACUUCUGUGUGCAACUGCCAAAGCCCAUUUUAACAAUAUCCAAUACCGGAGCUUCUGAGAUGCAGACAGCGAGUUAAGUGUGAAUCUGCUGCAAUGCACAAUAUAUUGACAACAAAAGCUUAGCAGUUGGUGAUUAGUAACCUCAUGAACAAACCACAAAUAUAUAACUACCAUAAAAUAUGCCACGAAAAUCUCUUCUUUUAUUUAUUUAUUUAUUUAUUUAUUUAUUUAUUGACUUCUAUUUAGGUACACCUACCUUUAAUGGUGGUCGUUAAAAAUGAAAAAACAAAAACAAAAACAAAACUAGGCUUAUAAGUCACAUGGCUUCCGUGGUGUUCUAGAAGAGUGAUUUGCAUAGAAUCUUUAUGGUCAUGCUGUCGUGUGUGUGUGUGUGUGUGUGUGUGUGUGUGUGUGUGUGUUCGCUCACGCAUGUGUACACUGCGGGGAGUAGGAGGUUGGAUUGGUCCUUGCUGCACAGAUCAUUAUUUUCUAUCUGUUAGUGUCUCCCUCUGGGUUUCCACUUCUGCAGGGCAGGAAAAAUCCACAGCAGAAAGUUUCAGGCAAAAGGAUCCUCCAGCUUCCAGGACUCAUGGGCACUUUGGUUUUAGCUCCGUCUUUCCUGCUAACUCCUCUCAAAACGUAUUGGUAAAUGUUUUCCAGCCACUUCGAAUGCAAC